rnacentral:sRNA from 1 species
GAGCUGUCCUGGGCUGGGUGCCUUGCUCUUUGAGACUGGAGACAGACGGGAACAGCCACAGGCAGACUGAGGUGGCAAUAGGAAAUCUGCCGAGAUGUUCAGUCAGGUGCCCAGGACCCCAGCCUCAGGCUGCUACUACCUAAAUUCCAUGACACCUGAGGGCCAGGAGAUGUACUUGCGAUUUGAUCAGACUACAAGACGCUCUCCUUACAGGAUGAGCCGGAUUCUAGCACGCCAUCAGCUAGUGACUAAAAUUCAACAAGGUAGGAAAGUCUACUGACCUCCUUCCCUGAAAAUUUGGAUCCUCAUAUUAGCAUUCCAUUCCACAUGCUGUACUUUUAGUUGGAAGGUCUAAGGCAGACAAAGCUGCUUAAAUAUUUUUAUCACUGACUUCCUAGAAGAAGGAGGAAAAAAUCUUGGCAAGAAGAAGGGAAAUCAGUCUUGCAGAAUAUCUUGAAGAAGCCUGCAAAGGAAUUCCACUGACUGUGUUCAUUAUCUGUUGGUCCCAAUACUGAGUGGA